rnacentral:rRNA from 1 species
GAAGAACUUACCAAGGCUUGACAUGUUCUCGAUAGCCGUAGAGAUACGGUUUCCCCUUUGGGGCGGGUUCACAGGUGGUGCAUGGUGUCGUCAGCUCGUGUCGUGAGAUGUUGGGUUAAGUCCCGCAACGAGCGCAACCCUCGUUCCAUGUUGCCAGCACGUAAUGGUGGGGACUCAUGGGAGACUGCCGGGGUCAACUCGGAGGAAGGUGAGGACGACGUCAAAUCAUCAUGCCCCUUAUGUCUUGGGCUUCACGCAUGCUACAAUGGCCGGUACAAUGGGUUGCGAUACUGUGAGGUGGAGCUAAUCCCAAAAAGCCGGUCUCAGUUCGGAUUGGGGUCUGCAACUCGACCCCAUGAAGUCGGAGUCGCUAGUAAUCGCAGAUCAGCAACGCUGCGGUGAAUACGUUCCCGGGCCUUGUACACACCGCCCGUCAAGUCACGAAAGUUGGUAACACCCGAAGCCGGUGGCCUAACCCUUGUGGGGGGAGCCGUCGAAGGUGGGACCAGCGAUUG